GCCAGGCUUCUGGCAGUAAGCCCGCCUGGCUCUGGGGAUCCCGAGCCUAAGGCAUCAGGCUGCACAUCAGAUGAGCCUAGAGCACGGCAUGAAGCCUGGCCGCAGAGGCAUCGGGGCACAUGUGCCCGUAGAGUAUGGAUGGUCCCGGGUCCUGCCGGCCGGGAGCCAAGUCUACAGGGGAAGACGUCCGGAUGGCCAUGCAGAGGUUCACUGAUGUUUCCUCAAGACCCGCUGCACCCUGGGCCCGGCCUGCAGUAUGAGCACAGGACAGAGUCUCUCUGACUGACCUGGAACUUGCAGCAAGUGACUUACCAGCUCCCAAGUGCUGGGCCUGUCUACCCCAGGCUGCCCUUCUGACCCACAAUCUUAUCUCAGCCCCCCGAGAAACUGAAAGGGCAAAUGCAGGCCUUCCCAUUCAGCUUCGAAUGCCCUCUCAAAUGGGCAGGUAGCCUCCAGCUCCA